GAAUGGCGUUGAGGCGGUCAGAUUAGGCCGGGCUGGCUCACACGAGGGUCCCGGGCUUGGCUUUUUCCUGCCCGUACCACUGGACAUCAGCUAGUUCUGGAUAGAGGGAGGAAUCCAGGAAACAGCUAUCAUUGUAGCUCCUAUGGGAGGCCCAAGAAAGGAGAUGAGACAGUUAGUGGAGGAGGAUGGGUUCAGCCAGGCCUGCACUGAGAAGGAUGUGUUCACCUUGACAGGGCCCUGUGCUAAUCACGAGUCUUUCCUGUUCAGAGCAGUGAGGCCUGAGACCCUCAACAGUGCUGUGUGUACAGAAGGCCCCCAGAAUCCACACAAAGGGGCCGCCUGAAACCUAGAGCAUUUGUGAAGGAGGAAAAUGGAAGGAACAACUGGAUGUUGUAAAUGUUUCUCAUCUGGCCUUAAAAUCCAUGAAAGCUGGAAAAUCACAAGGCAUCUGUGCACAUACUGGUGGAUUUUAAUGAGAGUCCUGUGUUUGGAGCACCAGAAAUAAACCAGCUUCAGAAGCAAAAACUAGGAGGAGGAAGCAGAGCUAGAGAUGGAAGGAGACCCAGCCAGCCCGGGCUCCAGUGACAUCGGCUGGUACACGCUUUUGUUUGCUUACGCUUGUUGAACUGAGUUUUUCAUAUGUAACUAACGAAUAGUGGCACAUGUGAGACUGGGCAUGAUUCAGAAAAGUUGGAAGAUCUAGAGAGGGAUCUUGCAAUCUGAAGUUUCUUGUUUAGUCACUGGAGGAUCUGAACGUCUAUGACACUCUUUCGAGCUGACACAGUGAAGAACAUGGAAGGAGAACUCACCCAGUCU
rnacentral:sRNA from 1 species